AGAGUUUGAUCAUGGCUCAGAUUGAACGCUGGCGGCAUGCCUAACACAUGCAAGUCGAACGGCAGCACAGCAGAGCUUGCUCUGUGGGUGGCGAGCGGCGGACGGGUGAGUAAUGCCUGGGAAAUUGCCCAGUCGAGGGGGAUAACAGUUGGAAACGACUGCUAAUACCGCAUACGCCCUACGGGGGAAAGCAGGGGACCUUCGGGCCUUGCGCGAUUGGAUAUGCCCAGGUGGGAUUAGCUUGUUGGUGAGGUAAUGGCUCACCAAGGCGACGAUCCCUAGCUGGUCUGAGAGGAUGAUCAGCCACACUGGAACUGAGACACGGUCCAGACUCCUACGGGACGCAGCAG
rnacentral:rRNA from 1 species